UACGUAGGGCGCAAGCGUUGUCCGGAAUUAUUGGGCGUAAAGGGCUCGUAGGCGGUCUGUCGCGUCGGGAGUGAAAACUCAGGGCUUAACCCUGAGCCUGCUUCCGAUACGGGCAGACUAGAGGUAUGCAGGGGAGAACGGAAUUCCUGGUGUAGCGGUGAAAUGCGCAGAUAUCAGGAGGAACACCGGUGGCGAAGGCGGUUCUCUGGGCAUUACCUGACGCUGAGGAGCGAAAGUGUGGGGAGCGAACAGG
rnacentral:rRNA from 1 species